CUGUUAUGGGGGCAGCCCACAGCACACCAGCCCAGCAGACAGAUGUCCUGGGAAUAAGCAGACUGCUAGUUUGCACAGCUCUGUCCUCUCAUUCCAAACAGCAUCCCAGAAGCUUCCCUGAACUAUGUCAAGCAGAGUCAGAGAAGAGAAUACACAUAUAUUUAUUCUGAAAUAGGAACAGACUUCAUUGAAGAGUCCACCAGAGCCAGUAAAAAAGAACGAUGUGUUUGGUAUUUGGAAGAAGAGAAGAAAGGAAGCCGGAGAUUAAGUGUGGCGAGAGGCGUUUUAAUGUUCCUGGGUCAGGACAGCAAGCUUCCCUGGAGCCACUUGUCACUGAUGGAAACUGAGUCCAUGGCUGUCUCUAGUCUGAUCUUGAAGAGGCCUGCUUCUCCCACCUGACUGCUGGCUGGACACAGAGAUAUCUGUGUCCAAAAGACCCAAGCUCUUAAUAAAAACAAAAACAGAUAAAAUAAAAAUAAGAAGAACCAGUCUCAGCAUUUCAGCUUAACUCACUCCUACAUUUUUCUCCUCUCUCUCAUCUUUUCCCACUCUUGUUCUCACUCAAAAAGGGUCAGUGUUGUGAUAAUCGAAUCAGAUAAUGGCUGUACAGGGGCUUUGUCAUCUGUAAAGAACUUUACAAAUAUUCUCACAUAUGGAGGGGACCCUAGGGAGCUAGGCAUGCAAGGGGAACCCUGGCUCCCUCCCAGCCAGCAUGGCAAAGCCCUCAACUACUCUCUACAUGGUAGUCUGUGGCCCCAUCAUGUUUGAAAAGAAGACUCAGGCCGGGGAGGUUGGAGCAAAAUCCCAGUUACUACUGGGAUUUGGCUGGUCAGCUGGGGUCACCUUGUCAUUUCAGACUUGAAGAAAAUUGGCCCCAACACAGAAUCCCUGAGUUCUCAGGGCUCAGGCUUUAGCCUUAAGUAUAAUAGCAUCUUUUCGCAUUCCAACAGGAUACCCCAUGACUGUCUACAAAACUCUCUGGAUUUGAAGAGGGGGAUUAAAUCAAGGGAUGUGAGCAACC